CUGCUCGUACGAUCAGGAGCUGCUUCGACCUGCAGUGAGAUGAGUGUCAGUGUCUUCUCUUCCAGUUGCCCCAAAAACUACAACAGUGGCGAGACACACGCUGUGAUCGGAUCAGCUGUAACGUUCCUUAGACUGUCAAGAAACUCCCCGGUCCCCGGAUCACAUACUAUCAGCCUCAGCUUCCAGACCAACAUCAAUCAUUCCGCCCAAGAUUUUCACGGAUCGGUAACCGUCGCCCAUUUACCCUUUCCGGAGACCACAUCUCCAUCAGCAUCAUCCAGAAACGAGGAGGGGCUUCUUCCAGCACAGGAAACUGAACGGAUACACGGGGGCCUCCUUCCUGUCAGCGACAAGUCCAAAAGACCCAAAAAAAGACUUCCCUGAUCCACAGUGGAGAUGAAGCCUGCCUGAGGAAAAGGCAACGCUCAGCAACCUUCCCUCGCCAAAAUCUAAUCGUCUUCAUCACGUCCGGUAUGCGUGUAACACAGAAGGAGUCCAUGACCUCCCGAAAAAAAAGGAUUUUCCUCGCCACUAUUACCCUUCAAAAAACGUCAUGGGGUUAAGGAAAGAUGUGACGAGAAUUCAUGAGGAUUUAGGAACAAACACCUGGAGAAAUCUGACUGAAUUUACGACUGAGCGAAUGAUGAUGAAUGAUGAUGAGAUGAUGAAAUGAUGAUGAAUGCCAACCAUUUUGAUGUAAUUGAGUGGCGUUUGUCGUGGGAAACGACAGUUUUCCAUACAGCGGAACUAAUAAAAGUGCCAAUCAGAUAACUUCUCCCUCUGUUUUGUUUAUAUGCCUGUUGCCUUUAUAAACUACCUUGACAAAUAUAUCUUCAUUACCAUGGUUGGAAUUUAAAUAAAAAAAUGUAAGUAAAAACGUG